AUGGCUUUAGGAAAGUUGCUGUGGGUCUUGGAUGCCCAGCAUACGAGCACCAUUCCUCAGGGCAUUUCUGCCUUAGUAGCCCUUAGGCCUAUUGCUUCUGGAAGAAAAUGCUUGACAGAUAUACUGUGGUCUGGUUCUAGCCAGGAAAAAUUCACCUUUAGCUCCAGUUCUUCAUACCAUGCACCUGCUGUCACCCAUCAUGCACACUAUUUUAAGGGUACAGCUUUUGUCAAUGGAGAGUUCAAAGACCUAAGCCUUGAUGACAUUAAGGGGAACUAUUUGGUGCUUUUCUUCUAUCCUUUGGUUUUCACUUUUGUGUGUCCUACAGAAGUUGUUGCUUUUAGUGACAAAGCCAAUGAAUGUCGCGAUGUGAACUGUGAAGUUGUUGCAGGCACAGUGGACUCCCACUUCAGCCAUCUUACCCAGAUAAAUACACCAAGAAAGAAUGGUGGCUUGGGCCACAUGAACAUCACACUCUUGUCAGAUUUAACUAAACAAAUUUCCUGAGACUAUGGUGUGCUGUUAAAACAUCCUGGUCUUACAUUAAGAGAUCUCUUCAUAAUUGACCCCAAUGGAAUCAUCAAACAUAUGAGUGUCAAUGAUUUCCCUGUGGGCUGAAGCGUGGAAGAGAUCCUCCACUUGGUGAAGGCAUUUCAGUUUGUAGAAACCCAAGGAGAAGUCUGCCCAGCAAACUGGACACUGGAAACUCCUUCAAUCAAGUCAAAUCCAACUGCUUCUAAAGAGUACUUAGAGAAGGUAAAUUGGUAGAUACUUCAUGUGUACCUGAACCUUCUCAUUCGAGAGAAGAAUCACAGCUGAAACCUGCUUUUAGCAUUUCAGAUGAUUAUUUGUGGAAGGCAAGGAACUAAUUAUACUUGUAUUCAUAAGUAUUAUUUACUCAAAAUGUUUUCUUUUUGUAAUACCUGCUAUGGCUUCCUAAAUGUGGUUAUUUGCUAGUAUAAACAGUCCUUUAUUGGUAACCUCUUGGUGGCUAGCUAGCCAGUUUCU